rnacentral:misc_RNA from 1 species
CGAGAAUGUUUUUCGAGACACUGGUUCUCAAGACAAAGGAUUACCUCCAUGUAGAACAGGAAAGACCUUUUGACAACAUUAGUAUAAAGCCAAGAAUAAAUCUCAUGAAAUCAAGUUUCUGAUUUACUUUAGGAAAAGGCAGAGAUACACAGCUUGGGGAAAAACCAAAAAACAAAAAACAAAAAGGCUCCAGUAGAUGUUAGUUCAGCCGAUGCUUCGCUCGGGAUGUCGAUAGCUAUUUUCAUCAUCAGAAACUCCCCUUCCCAACAAAAUAAUCUUUUGUAUUUCUUUCUUCUUUUUGUUAUUAUUAUUUAUAUAUUGCCUUGUUUAAG